rnacentral:rRNA from 1 species
GACGAACGCUGGCGGCGUGCUUAACACAUGCAAGUCGAACGGAAAGGCCUGCUUUCCCUUGUGGAUUGCGGGUACUCGAGUGGCGAACGGGUGAGUAACACGUGAGUGAUCUGCCCCCAACUUGGGUAUAAGCCUGGGAAACUGGGUCUAAUUCCCGAUAGGACUGCAGGGUGGUGCCUGUGGUGGAAAACGAUUUUCUAGUGGUUGGGGAUGAGCUCGCGGCCUAUCAGCUUGUUGGUGGGGUAAUGGCCUACCAAGGCGGCGACGGGUAGCCGGCCGGGGAGGGUGGACGGCCACAUUGGGACUGAGAUACGGCCCAGACUCCUACGGGAGGCAGCAGUGGGGAAUAGUGCACAAUGGGCGGAAGCCUGAUGCAGCGACGCCGCGUGGGGGAUGACGGCCUUCGGGUGGUAAACUCCUUUCGACCGCGAGGAAGCCACCUGGUUGGAAGGGUGGUGACGGUAGUGGUAGAAGAAGCACCGGCUAACUACGUG